rnacentral:rRNA from 1 species
UACGUAGGGUGCAAGCGUUAAUCGGAAUUACUGGGCGUAAAGCGUGCGCAGGCGGUUUUGUAAGUCUGACGUGAAAUCCCCGGGCUCAACCUGGGAACUGCAUUUGUGACUGCAUCGCUGGAGUGCGGCAGAGGGGGAUGGAAUUCCGCGUGUAGCAGUGAAAUGCGUAGAUAUGUGGAGGAACACCGAUGGCGAAGGCAGCCCCCUGGGUCAAAACUGACGCUCAUGCACGAAAGCGUGGGGAGCAAACAGG